rnacentral:rRNA from 1 species
GACGAACGCUGGCGGCGUGCCUAAUACAUGCAAGUAGAACGCUGAAGGAGGAGCUUGCUUCUCUGGAUGAGUUGCGAACGGGUGAGUAACGCGUAGGUAACCUGCCUGGUAGCGGGGGAUAACUAUUGGAAACGAUAGCUAAUACCGCAUAAUAGUAGAUGUUGCAUGACAUUUGCUUAAAAGGUGCAAUUGCAUCACUACCAGAUGGACCUGCGUUGUAUUAGCUAGUUGGUGGGGUAACGGCUCACCAAGGCGACGAUACAUAGCCGACCUGGGAGGGUGAUCGGCCAAACUGGGACUGAGACACGGCCCAGACUCCUACGGGAGGCAGCAGUAGGGAAACUUCGGCAAUGGACGGAAGUCUGACCGAGCAACGCCGCGUGAGUGAAGAAGGUUUUCGGAUCGUAAAGCUCUGUUGUAAGAGAAGAACGAGUGUGGGAGUGGAAAGUUCACACUGUGACGGUAUCUUACCAGAAAGGGACGGCUAACUACGUG